GAAGACGUCUGUAAACAGUGAAUUGUCGAAAUCAUCAGAAAUUUUCGAAAUCAGCAACUUUCCUUUCCUUAUAUUGUAACUAUUAGCGUCAGGAAAUUCAACUUUGUCGAUUUGUGUGUUGCAGUAAAUUCGAACCAACAUUAUACUAUGGAAACUACUAUCGUAACAAGCCAUUGGGUACAGUACGCUCGGGCAAGAAUCACGUGAUCAAUUAUAGUUGUCAUGCGCGGUAAGUCAUAUUUUUACAUUAUUCAGUCAUCAGGAUUGUGACUUAUAAUUUCGACCCCAAACAGAUCAUAUAGUUUCAAACCACUUACAGUAUGAAAUUGCGUACGAACUAGCAUAAAAUGAAUUCUAUAACAUUAUGAUUAGAAGACUGAAAACAUACAUUUUGAAACGGAACAUUUAUACUCGAAAGUAACGAAGAGAUAUUGGCAAAUCAAAUUAAACGAUUUUUAGACAGUACCAAGUAACGAUUUGCAACAGCACGUGGAGGGUAUAUUUCAUAUUAAUUUAUUGUGUAGAUGCGAUAUGUUAGCUGAUUCAGAACAAUUUAGAUGUAAAAUAUCUUUUAAAAUGAUUCAUUUUUCUCUUCUAUCAAAAAUUAUUUCUUACAAUUAUUUUCUGGAAGCACCAGUGUGUAUAAAACUGAAAUUGUUCACAAACAAGUUUCGUUUAUUGUUACGGCACGUAUGUGGGUUCCCCGAAGGAAGAUCUCCUUUCGUGAUUAUCCGUGUGUAUCGGAAAGAUAAGUUUUGUUUACCGGCUAAUUGCCCAAGUACCCUUUUUCUAAUACUUCAAAUCUAGAUGCCCCUGUGCGUUUGGGGGGCCUGUGCUUUUUGAAGCGGAAAUGAUCUUUUCUAACUUUCGGGCAGUAAGUGAGAACAGAUAAACCAAUGAGGUUACGCGUUUCGGAUUUAGAGUUAACAAUGAAAUUAUUUUAAAAAAACGCACCUCCUUUUGUAGGAGAAUGUCUUCUCGGUAUGGAGCAAUGUAUACAUACAUAGAUUUAUGAAUUGGGUGGAUAAUUUCAAUUCCAAUGGCCCCAAUUAUUAUUAAAUUAAACGACGGUAGUAAGUUUUUGCUCUAGUAAAGUUAUGUUUAUCCAGCAUAUCUAGGCAUUCUGUACGUUUUGUAGUUGGCCAUAUUGAACAUCUGAUAGCGUUUAAGCUAACUUUAUCAAAAAGUUAUAAUUUCUGAGAUGUUUUUAGCUAAAAACGAGUUAGGUCUUGUUUUUUGUUCACGAUGCUUGUUCAGAAUUUCAUUGAGAGUUGAUAAUCAUGGCUGCUACGGCGGCUCAU